CAGAAGAUAGUUUAAUUUAGAACUCUGGCUUUGGGAGCCAGGAGUGAGAGUUGGAAUCUCUUUUUUCUGG
rnacentral:tRNA from 1 species